AGAGGGUCGGGCAAGGUUUAACCUUGUCGGGCAAGGCUUGUCGUCUUGUAAGAGGUUUGAAAGCUUAGAAAAAGGGUAGGGAGGUGAGUUUACAGAAGAAAUCGAUACUACAGCAAGAGUUGAGCAGGGUAGCAGAGCUAUUACAAAAGGUUUAUCCCGAAAGGGAUGAAAGCUUGGGCUGACUACAGCUUCGUUUUGAAGGCAAAUCUGGCUUUGAGCAGAGUUUGUGCUUGUAUUUGUUUUGAGUGUCCUUGAUUCUGACCUCUCUUUCCCCUUUUAUAAACACCUUGGCUUGGCCUCUUGUAGCAACAACCUUGCCCGAAUGCAAUUUGAAGGGUAGUGACUCAUCAGCUAUUUUACUUGUACUGCCAUCUAAAAGUACUUUUUGGGCUGUAUAGCUGGCUGGUCUAUACCACUUGACCUGCACCUAGUCUGAAAAAAGCCUUCCCUGUAUUCUAGGUUUGGGCUAAGCUUCGGGCUUUUCCUUCUCUUUUUGGGCCAACUCCCUUCUAAGCCCAAAGUUUAAGUUUUAACCCAAACAGUGCCCUCUUCAAUCAAUAUUUAGCUUGGAAUUUCAGGCGCCAAUAUUGAUUGAAUAUGUCUCUAUUAAUACCCACGUCUUUCGUUCUCGGGAUUUGCACACUCUUCAAAAGCAACCACCGCCUUUCUUCGGUUAAGCUCAUCAUUCCCGAAUCUCCUGCAUUCCUCUCAUCUCCGGAGUCGAAAACUUCCUAAUCCUUCAACCGCUUCUUCCUUGUCGUUCCAUUUCUAGAUUUCAUCAAAAUGGCCUCGGGAUCCAGCCAAAUCCAUCUAUCAUAUGAAUCUGGCGAAGGUAUCGCCACUUUGCGCCGUUUACUCAACGGCCUGCAUCGCCCUCGAGCAGGUUUGUAUUCUGAGCUUUUCUUUGAAGUUCAUGGAGUACAAUCGUUGGGUCCUGCAUGGAUUUCUCGAGUCCCUGCAGUGAUAGAGGACAACAUGCCCAAGGAUAACUAGUUCUCUCCAAAUCCUUAUUUGGCUAAGUCGGGCAUUUCCUCAUCUAAGUGGUCGUUAUAUCGCCGAGGUUUUCCAUUGAUGAAUGAUCUGGCUUGGGCCCAAUGGAUUGAUGAACUAGAGCCAACAUUUAAGACGAAAUGGAUGAAUAAUGGUAUUUAUGAGUUGAUAAUGCUCUAAAAAACCACCAUUAUUCCCAAGCCCGAACUGCUUGCUUCCUCUCUUAUUUUCUGGAAUUCGGGCACAAAUACUUUUGACUUUCGCAUGGGUCCCAUGUCUCCGACUAUUCUAGAUAUGGCUCAAGUCUUCAGGCUAAGGCCAUCGGGCAGGAUAGUAGACGUUACCCAAGACUGGGCUCUCCCAUCGAUUGCUGAAAGCUCAGGUUCAUCCACAUCCUUCCUCUCCCUGGAAUAUAACUCCGCAACCUUCAAGAGCUACGAAACCUUGUUCAAGGGAUUUAUCCCUUUUGUAAAAGAAAACUUUAGAGCAGGUUCCUCCCGUGCCGAUAGAGAUCAAGAGCACAUGUAUUUCCUUUUAUACUGGCUUAACAAACAUAUCUUCCCCAACAAAUCUAAAGGGGUGAAGGUUGAAUGGAUCCCCUUGGUGGAAGCUCUUCACAAUUUUGACGAUGUGGCAACAGGUCCAUUCAUUCUUUCUCAUCUUUACCACCUUCUCUUCGAAAUGACUCAAGGUGAACCAUUUGAGACUAACCUGAAUGGACCCAUAUGGAUGAUACAAACAUGGCUCCAAUGGUAUUUCCCAGAGUUUCGGGCUACCAAUUUAGAGUUCCCUAAAGGUGUAGCCCCUGCCCGAAUCCUAGCUGAAGCUGCUCUUACUGACCACUUCACCUUUGCCUGCUUUUAUUUCUUCAAGGUUUGUAGGACUUGAUCAGACCUGGAAUGGUGUGCAUCAGUCUUGAGAAGAUAUCCUUGGUUCUCUAACCAAGCCUUUCAAGAUGCUUAUGGGGAAGAUGCCACUUCUUCUUGCAGGGAAAAAUUUAUUAGUUGCAUUCAAUCAAGAGAUAUGGCCUGGGGAGUUCGGGGCAAUCGGUAUGAUCGAGGGUUGGAGGUGUAUCAUCCCAACUUUUGCAGCAGGCAAUUAGGCUUUAGGCAAGCCAUCCUUAUCCCCCUCUUUGACUCCGUUCAUUGUGGCACUUCCUUUCGUUUAGUAUCUCCCUCUGAGGUGACCUUUAGGGUUGCCCGACGCAGUCUCGAAGUCAUGAGUCAGGCUACCCGAAAGUCCAUAAUCCUCAAUUUUGAAUGCACUUCACUCUUCUCUUCUUGGUGGGAGGACAAAUGGACCAAGAAAUAUAGAGGAGACUUGAGAGAGACCCAUGAUCGUCUGUUCGGUCAACUUUCUCUUAAAUCAUACCCUAGUUCGGGCGAACUUGAAAAUUGGAAGGAGAUGAUUCAAGAGAAGAAUCAAGUUCUUCUGAUAGGUAUCCCCUUUCUCCUUAUCUUGAUUCCAUAAUCCUUCCCUUAAACCUUUUAACUUUUUCCUUUCUUAACCCUGCAACCCAAGUGGAUGUUGAAUCAGUUCCUGCUGAGUCCGAGGAUGACUCAGCUGAUGCAGCAGUUCUUCAUGGAGCUGCGGCAGAGGCUGAGAGGUGAGAAGCUGGAGGAAGUGGGGACGUUUCAGAAGAUUCAGGGGUUGAAAAAGAAACGCCUGAAGCUAUUAUCCAAGUGUCUAAGCGAAGGAAAGCAGUCGUGAUUGAGAAUUCAGAUUCUGAUCCUACAUCCCCCCCAAGAUUAAACCACGAAUUCCUACUCCUACUAGAAAGAGUAAGAGGUCCAGAACCGUCCAAACUAUCAAGUCUUCAGACCCACCUGCUCCAGUUGUUGAGGCGGGCAGAAAGAAACAAAAAUCUUCAAGUGAGUUGUGUUCUUUCUGGUUAAACUGCUACCUUGAUUUUUUAUAUAGUUACCUAUGUUUGAACACAGGACCUCAAACAUCAAAGAAACCAACCAUCGCCUCCAAGGAUGAACCUUUAGGAGCUGCAAUGUACAAAAAUGCUGAAGAAUUGAGAAACUUAACCCUUGAAGAACUUGAGGUAUACUCUACUUGCAUGUCUACAUAAUCUUCCCUGUUUUCACAAAAACCCUGAGUAUGGUUUAAUUGAGUUAGGCUACAAGAAACAAACAGCUCCAUCCGCCCGAGGUCUCUCCGCCACUUGCUCAAGAGACAAACCUCUCCCCCCUCGGGUUGACCCUUCGAAGGUCGGGGUAUCUGCCCCUUUGCCUAGCCAAGGUUCCCAUUUGAUUUCUCCUUCUGUCUUGGAGGCAACUCCUUCUUCUCAAUUUGAUCCAUCCACAUGGGUAAUGUUGCAAUUCGUGGAUGAGGACAGUAAUUUGCCUUCUUCAAUACAAAAUCCAUCAGUGGCAACAAGAACAAGUGACGAACCCAUAGUUCCUGAGAUUCCUGUGACUUCAGAAGCAACUACUUUGCAGGUGUUUGCCUGCCCGACAGUUACCCUUGAUAAACCUCCUUCAUCCCCUCAGGGUUGAACUUUGGGUAUUGGUGAAGGUGUAGGCGCAAUUUCUUCUUCCUCUCAAGCAGGAAUUAGUACUCUUCCUUAUGAGACUCCAAGCAUUAGUCGGCAUGUGCCUGAAGAAACUUCUCCUCCUCAUUUGGUUCGUAAACCAAGGCUCCCCCGACCUCAUUUGGCUAUUGGGAGUGCUGAGAUGAUUCAUCCUGGUAUGGAGAAGGCCGGAGAGCUAAAAACUGCCCCAUCAGUAGGUGCUGCUUCAUUAGAGAAAACUGGAGUGCAAAGUCCCCCUCUUGCUUCUCUGGCUUCAAAAACUGCUAAGUUGCCCGAACUGUUUGAAAAAUUCGGGCAGCUCGAGACAAGGCUGAAAUCCUCGAAGCAUUCUUCACCUUCAGGUUUCCCAGAGCAGAAGCGAGUUUUCCAAGAAUGGGCAAGGAAGGAUUUCUCCGCUUCAUUUAGCCUUAAGGACCUUUUGUUGGAAGUAUGCCCACAAAGCCACUUAUUUGAUGUAAUAGCUUUUGGAAUACUUAUUGUAUUAAACUUUUAUAUGUUUAAUGAA